rnacentral:rRNA from 1 species
CAGCCGCCACGGUAAUGCGGAGGGGGCUAGCGUUGUUCGGAAUUACUGGGCGUAAAGCGCACGUAGGCGGCUUGGUAAGUUAGAGGUGAAAGCCCAGGGCUCAACCCUGGAAUUGCCUUUAAGACUGCCGAGCUAGUAGGUGAGAGAGGUAAGUGGAAUUCCGAGUGUAGAGGUGAAAUUCGUAGAUAUUCGGAAGAACACCAGUGGCGAAGGCGGCUUACUGGCUCAUUCUAGACGCUGAGGUGCGAAAGCGUGGGGAGCAAACAGGAUUAGAUACCCCUGUAGUCCCUGUCUCUUAUAC